rnacentral:lncRNA from 1 species
GCCAGGCACAGCAAGGGAUGCAGACUGAGACAAUGUUGCCUGACAGCCUUUCAGGGGAUUUGUCCUGGUAGCAGCCUCUGGAUGUACAGGCAGAGAGUGAUGCCUAGAGCAGCUCACUGAGACCUGGUGAGUAGCUGUAUAUACAGCCCAGUGAUGGGCAGCCAUGACAGAGAGAGCCUGGGUAGCAGCUCACACUUAGCCAGCUGCUAUGGACUACAACUCCUAUAACAAUGGCUGUGGACUGCAACUCUCAGAAUGCUCAUGGGACUCACUGUCCUGAGCUAAUUUCUAAAACAUACAGAAAACUGGCAUGUUUAGAGUAAUUGUUUCCAUGGCACUUACUCUAGAUCAGGUGAUGGUCUUGGUUUGGAAUUGUGGGAGUUGUAGUUUAUUUUAUGUUUUAUUACUGGCAUUUCUAAAGAGCCAGCCCCUAGUUACCACCUUCCUGAGAAAUACAUCCAAGGGCGGCUUAUUUACUAAACAGCAAACUGUGGUCAGCUGUGAGAUUUCCAAAUUUGUUAUUUUUUUGCCAAAUAAAAUUGUCAUUUGGUUUUCAAUUCACUACAGUUUUCUCUUUUGGGAAUAAACUCCAAGAGGGUUAUUCACUAAACUCCAAAUUGUAACAAAUAAACAUCUGAUCAGGAAACAUUCUUAUACUCUGCUAUUUGUAGCCUAAAUUUAGCAAUUGGAAUUCUGGGCACAAACCACCAACGUAUCAAUGGACCGAUUUCAGAUAAUUUUCCAUUUAGAAGUUAAAUAACUUUUGUUUCUGCUUAUGCAGCCCUAGUCACACCACCCUUGCCUGUGACUCACACAGCCAUCAUGUACAUUCCAUUUUCAAUCAGAUGUUAACUUGCUUUGGAAGUUUUUGCUUAUCUCUUUUUAUUGAAAUUUUUGUUUUUAUCCCAUCAAUGCAGGAUAUGUUACAGAAAUCGAGUAAAGUAAAAGGUAGUCACAUACGCUUAAGAAGGUGUUUUACAUGUCAGUAGCUAGGCAUUUAUCACGUGUUACAAUCCAACAUUGGUACGUUAACUGGAGUGCGUGAAGUGCUUAGGGAGAAUGGCCGUGUGGAGCAGGAGAUAAUAAAUGUAACCUGAGUGGGUUUUUAUAAUGUGGCCUUCUUCCAAAUGUGCCCCAAACCAAGGUGGCAUCAUUAGGGGAUGGUGAGGGCUGUCAGUGGAGUGGUAUAACAAUCCUUACCAUAAGCCCCAAGAUUUUGGGUGCAUGAGCAUACAGUUGCGGGCAAGUAGGCUCUCUAACGUAGGGAAACAAUUAAACUGGUUUUAAAUAAAACGUUAUCUAAACAAUAUAUGAAUGUUCGGGCUGCAAAUGUGUAUAUUGGCUCUCAAUGUAGUCAGGUUUCUGGUUGCGGAGUCAAACAGUCAGAGGAUGUGCCUGGUGACGGGAUUCAGGGAUCUUCACCAUUGUAGCGUGGUUCUGGUGAGGUCCUGGUAGAUAGAGAGACUUGCUCCUUCAAAAGUCAGUGGCUUCUUGCCUCGGAGUACUGUCAUCAGGAGUCUUUUGUCCUGUGAGGUGGAGCAACAUACGAUCACAUCUCGUACCAUAGUGGAGGCUGCUCUGCCCUAUGAUGGUAGACGGUAGAUCCCAUCUACAGGGAGUGCAGAAUUAUUAGGCAAGUUGUAUUUUUGAGGAUUAAUUUUAUUAUUGAACAACAACCAUGUUCUCAAUGAACCCAAAAAACUCAUUAAUAUCAAAGCUGAAUAUUUUUGGAAGUAGUUUUUAGUUUGUUUUUAGUUUUAGCUAUGUUAGGGGGAUAUCUGUGUGUGCAGGUGACUAUUACUGUGCAUAAUUAUUAGGCAACUUAACAAAAAACAAAUAUAUACCCAUUUCAAUUAUUUAUUAUUACCAGUGAAACCAAUAUAACAUCUCAAUUCACAAAUAUACAUUUCUGACAUUCAAAAACAAAACAAAAACAAAUCAGUGACCAAUAUAGCCACCUUUCUUUGCAAGGACACUCAAAAGCCUGCCAUCCAUGGAUUCUGUCAGUGUUUUGAUCUGUUCACCAUCAACAUUGCGUGCAGCAGCAACCACAGCCUCCCAGACACUGUUCAGAGAGGUGUACUGUUUUCCCUCCUUGUAAAUCUCACAUUUGAUGAUGGACCACAGGUUCUCAAUGGGGUUCAGAUCAGGUGAACAAGGAGGCCAUGUCAUUAGAUUUUCUUCUUUUAUACCCUUUCUUGCCAGCCACGCUGUGGAGUACUUGGACGCGUGUGAUGGAGCAUUGUCCUGCAUGAAAAUCAUGUUUUUCUUGAAGGAUGCAGACUUCUUCCUGUACCACUGCUUGAAGAAGGUGUCUUCCAGGAACUGGCAGUAGGACUGGGAGUUGAGCUUGACUCCAUCCUCAACCCGAAAAGGCUCCACAAGCUCAUCUUUGAUGAUACCAGCCCAAACCAGUACUCCACCUCCACCUUGCUGGCGUCUGAGUCGGACUGGAGCUCUCUGCCCUUUACCAAUCCAGCCACGGGCCCAUCCAUCUGGCCCAUCAAGACUCACUCUCAUUUCAUCAGUCCAUAAAACCUUAGAAAAAUCAGUCUUGAGAUAUUUCUUGGCCCAGUCUUGACGUUUCAGCUUGUGUGUCUUGUUCAGUGGUGGUCGUCUUUCAGCCUUUCUUACCUUGGCCAUGUCUCUGAGUAUUGCACACCUUGUGCUUUUGGGCACUCCAGUGAUGUUGCAGCUCUGAAAUAUGGCCAAACUGGUGGCAAGUGGCAUCGUGGCAGCUGCACGCUUGACUUUUCUCAGUUCAUGGGCAGUUAUUUUGCGCCUUGGUUUUUCCACACGCUUCUUGCGACCCUGUUGACUAUUUUGAAUGAAACGCUUGAUUGUUCGAUGAUCACGCUUCAGAAGCUUUGCAAUUUUAAGAGUGCUGCAUCCCUCUGCAAGAUAUCUCACUAUUUUUGACUUUUCUGAGCCUGUCAAGUCCUUCUUUUGACCCAUUUUGCCAAAGGAAAGGAAGUUGCCUAAUAAUUAUGCACACCUGAUAUAGGGUGUUGAUGUCAUUAGACCACACCCCUUCUCAUUACAGAGAUGCACAUCACCUAAUAUGCUUAAUUGGUAGUAGGCUUUCGAGCCUAUACAGCUUGGAGUAAGACAACAUGCAUAAAGAGGAUGAUGUGGUCAAAAUACUCAUUUGCCUAAUAAUUCUGCACUCCCUGUAUGAUAAAUUUCUUAGCAUGAUUCGGUGGCAGUAGUGAGGCUACGAGUCACCUCAUAUAGUGAGGGAGUUUGUCAGGCGUGAUGGUAUCAGGUAUCCCUCUAAGCUUGAGGUGAUUGUGUCAUGUCCUAUCAUCUAGGGCUAUGUAGUGGAGUGAGAGAGCUUGUUGCUGGGCUUGUAAAGCCAGUACAGAGUCCUGUAGGGAUGACGAUCCCUGCUUGAUGUCUGAAAUGUCAUCCUCCGAGGCCUUCACCCUGUCUGUGAUGGUAUCAGGUUGCACGGCCAGGGUCUAGAAGGCUAAUAACCAAGCAGGAGAUAAUAAAUUCUAGAUUAAACAGACUGUUUAAAAAAGGUGUAAACAUUAGAUGACUCUUUACAGGAAGUGUUUAGGAAUGCUGUGAAAGUCACAUGAAGGGAGGUAUCACUAGGUCUGUAUAAAAAAGGGAUUUAAUUCCUAAAUGGCAGAGAAUUGAGCAGUGAGAUUGCAGGGGCAUGAUGUAUCCACAAAACGGCUUAAGCAAGCUGUUUAGGUGACCGUAGUGUCCCUUUUAAUAAAUGUAAGAUUCAUUUAUUUAUUUUUUAAAUUGCUAUUCUAUUUUCAAAUCUCAAUGAAACCCUCAUGUCAUGAUUUAAAGCAAAACUUUCACUUCUGAGGUUUUGGCACAACACAAUCACUUCCUAAACGUUUGCUAUACCUUGUGCUUCUAUUUUCUUACCAGCCUCAAUAGAGAUAAUGUUUUUUAUACAAGACAUACUAGGUAAAUUCCAUUAACCCCUGAAGACACAUGUGUGGAACUCUAGAAGGAAUUUCUCUAGAUAUCCCGGAUUCCUUUACAUACACCUUUGUACGUGUAUACAUCACAGUGACACCAAGACCUGGAAUCUGUUGCCUACUAACUGGAGAGGUAAGAAAUAUGUCACUGUGGCUUUAAAGAGCAGUCACCGGGUGAGAUACAAUUAACAAACCUAUAAUGAAAUACUGCAAGUAAGCUUCCCUUCCCUACCCACUGCUUGUCUUUUGUUUCCCUCUGGCAUAAAAUGUAUAAAUAAAUAGAAUAUUGACUGUAACCUACAAGGUUCUCCGCGGAGUGCAUUUCUUCUCCAAUUCACAAAUGCAUUCUUGCUCAACCAUGUUGCUCUGCCUGUAACACUUAUUUACUUUUUAAGGGCAGUACCACUCUGGAAUGCUCUAACCAAAAUAUGUGAUUUUACUCAUUACGGUGACUUUAAUGUUUAAAUCUUACAUGCCUCCUUGUUGUUGUGCAGGAAUAUGUUGUCGUAAACAAGACGUCCUCUUGUAACGUUGUACUUCCUUCAGAGUACAGAUACUUUAUGGUCCCCAUGUUCUCACUGUUGAUACCAAUUCUCUCCCCCUCCUGACUAGCUGUGAGUGUCUCAUAGAAUUAUUUGACCUGUGAUAACCCUGAACUGGAAUGGAACUGUUACAGGUGCCUGUAAAAUGUGGGGAUGUCUCCGUUUAUUUCUCCAAGGAGGAGUGGGAUUAUAUAGGUCACAUAUAGGUCACAAGGACAUUUACAAAGAUCUCAUGAUAGAGAAUUGUCCAACAGAAAGUACUAAUGAAAGGUAACACUGUUUAGAGUUUUUAUUAAGUUGUUGUAAGUAUUCUUCAAUAUUCACUUUGUAGCGAAACAGACUGGAUCUUAACAUAAAUAAUUCUACAUUAGAUCUCUUCUUAGAAAUGUUUCAUCUACACGCGUGCACCUUCCAAGUUUCUAAGCAAUGCUUAUUUUUAUCCAAUGCAUAUUUGGCCCAUGGAACUUUAGAUGAGCACACAAGGUCCAUUCAGCCGGAGUACAUGAGAUUUACACUAAGCUCUUAUUUAAAGUAUUGGGAGGACCACGAUUAGCUGAGUUCUCAGUCUCGACCUGGUUCCUGAUAAAACUUCAUAUUUGUCUCCACUAAGGGAAAAUUAAGAGUUCAUCACUUUGUUUAUGCGCACCUCCACUGUCUCUGAUUUUUAUAGCCACCCUACACAUUUCCUGAAGAAGAGAUUCAUUCUUUUUUUUAACUUCCCUUAUUGGACAGUGUGUUUAAUUUAGAAUUUCUUAUCUCCUGCUCUUUAAACUGCCUACUAGAGCCUUCAGCAGCCUCCCAUGUGUGAUUGAAGUUCAAUUAAAAAAACAGGAGACAAUGACUUCUAGAGUAAACAUACUAUGCUGUAAUUUUUUUCAUGGAUGCUGUAUGAGCCACAACCAGGGAAAGUAUGACGUGGGCAAAACAAAGUGACUUAAUUCCAUAGGAGCACUAGACACGGCAGGGGCAUGCAAUUACACCAAAACCGCUUCAUUAAGAUGAAGUUGCUUUAGUUUUUAGAACUGUCCUACAAAACUUCCGUCCUGUUUUCCGUUUUGAAAUACAACACUCAUUAUUCUGUGAAUGAAACAGACAGCCAGGGAAUCAUGGGAGUUGUAGUUCCAUACAUCUAAGGGGCCGCAGGUUGUGCAGGACUGGUUUAGAGUAUUCCUGGAAGGUCAACAGCCUUACUGCAUUAAUCUGUUUGCAGUAAUGCUUCCAGAGCAAAAAAAGACACCACCCUGUAUAUUAUGCAUUUUAUAAAAAGUCGAUCAUAUCUUACUUUCUCCUUGUAAUAUCUCUUUAGAUGUGAAGUUAACAGGUCCUUACAAUGGAGAUCCUGACAGUGUAUCGGAAGUCGAGGGAGAGGAGGAUGAGAAAUGUGCACAGGAAAUUGAUACAGUAAAAAUCCAUUUACACACAGAUACAAGUAAGAGACCUCUCUGAAUCCUAAACCCUAAUCUAAUCAGGAAAUGGACAACUAUAUUUUAAGAUAAUUUUAUUUGUAUUUUUAACAUAUUAUUAUUGUUUGGCAAGAUCAAAAAAAUGAAUUUGCAGGAUCUUGAGAAAGUAAUGGACACAAAGUAUUUAAAAGUUGCCUAACAGCCCGGAUGUCCCUUUAGUGGCUGUCUACAAGACAGCCACUAGAGGUGGAGUAAACAUGGUCCUUAAGGGGUUAAAGGUAGUUUCUUAAAAGCUGCAAUAAUUACCUUUGCAGGGUUAAGGGACCUGGGAAUAUGCACCCAGACCUCUUCAAUGAGCUGCAGUGGUCUGAAUGACUAUAGAAUCCCUUUAAUAUAUAUUUUUGCUUGCUCUCUUUGCUGUCAGCUUAGGGAUAUCAUAUGAUAUAGUGAUGAGAAAGAGAAGGCAUGAAAAUCCCAUAAUGCAUUGCAAGUUGGAGUAUGGGACAAUGAGCAGGGCUUUGUGCUGUUAUUUGGAGAUUUUAUUUAAUAUUUUUCUUUGGGAAGGCAGUAUAUAUGCUCUGCUAAUAUGAUGUUCUAAUAAUUAAAGGACCACUAUAGUGCCAGGAAAACAUACAAGUUUUCCUGGCACUAUAGUGCCCUGAGGGUGCCCUCACCCUCAGGGCCCCCUUCCCGCCGGGCUCUAGGGGGUGGAAGGGGUUAAAUUUACCUCUUUUUCCAGCGCCGGGUGGGGGACUCUCCUCCUUGUCGUCGUCAUAGGCUAAAUGCACAUGCGCGGCAUGAGCCACACGCGCCUUUAGCCAGUCCAUAGGAAAGCAUUCUCAAUGCUUUCCUAUGGACGCUGGCAUCUUCUCGCUGUGAUUUUCACAGUGAGGAGCGCGGAAGCACUUCUAGCGGCUGUCAAUGAGACAGCCACUAGAGGCUGGAUUAACCCCAUUAUAAACAUAGCAGUUUUUCUGAAACUGCUAUGUUUAUAGAAGAAAGGGUUAAUCCUAGCUGGACCUGGCACCCAGACCACUUCAUUAAACUGAAGUGGUCUGGGCGCCUUUAGUGGUCCUUUAAUUUUGAAUGGACGUUCUUUACCUCCUGGUUCAUGUUCCCUAACUCUGAUAUUUCCAGCAGACUCAACAUCCUAUCUAUAUUGCUUCCCUGUGUAAUGAAUAUUUUGAACAGGUGGCAGUGAAACCGACAUUGUACAGAGUGUCGAUCAAAUAGACACAAAGUGAGAGGCGCCGCAUGGUCAAUGAGAAGGAAGUGCAUGCGCUUCUUACCCGGGUAAGUAUUUAAUAGAAAGGAAUACAUCACUGGUACAAUAUCCAGAUUGGAAUCUAAAAUGUUAAUUUGUACUGUUAUAUAAUCUGUAAUUUUAUCUCUGUUGCUCAUGCUAUCAAUAAGUAAAUUAUUCCAAAAAUGUAACGGAUUGCAAACAUCUCCAACAGAUGCAUACAUUAUAAAGGCAUAGCUAUCUAAAUAUAGCUUCUGGUGCCCCAACGAUAUCUGCCACAAUAAAUGCAAGACCAUUCAGUCCAGGAGGCAUUAACCUCAAAUUCUCAACUUUCCUCUAGUACAAUAUGGAUGCCCAUUAGCUAUAAUUGGUUCUGUUCCCAUCACAAGUACUUUGCCACAGGUCACCAAUAAAAACCAUAACUCUUUCCAGUACCCUUUUAGUAGCUUCUAGCAGGGAUGUUCUUUCCGUUGAGAUAUUAGGUGUGUUAUGACACCUUCACUCUUCUUGUUGUCCACUGACUCUUCCUUUUAUUUGUGCUUUGCUAUAUCUUUCAUUACAUCUCUCCUUUAUCUUUGCUGUAAAAUAAACAUGUUACAUCUCAUCAUUUGUCCUUUCCUGAAAUCAAGCCUGGGGAUGUGAUUGAUGAAUCCCAUAGAGACAUUUAUUCCGUGGAAAGUGUGGACAAUGCCAACGAAUCGCAUGGAUUUAAGGAUGAUGGACAAAUACCAAGGACUGAAUGAAGAACUAGAAAGAAUGUGGAAAUUGAAGGCAGUAGUAGUCCCAGUUGUUAAAGGAGCACUUGGGGCUGUAACCCCAAGUUGGGGGAGUGGCUUCAACAGAUUCCAGGUGGGACAUCUGAGAUUGCGUUCCGGAAGAGUACAGUUCUUGGAACAGCUAAGAUAAUGUGCACUCUCAGACUCCCAGGCCUCUGGUAGAGGAACCAAACAUGAGGAAUAAAUAUACCACCUAGUUGUGGGAAAACCAUUUUUUUUAUUUUACAAAUUAUAUGAAUACAAUACAAUGUGCUGAAUUAGGUUUCAAUAACCUUAUUUCAAAUUAAAAAAAAAA